UAGAAAUAUUUUAUUUUUAAUACUACAUUUGUAUAUAUUAGUAUAAUAUAUAUGAGUCUAUCACUUUUUAAAACAUAAUAAUUUUAUUGUAUAUUUGUUUAUUGAAUUGGUUGUUUUCAGAUCACGUUUUUGGUUUGGAAAAGAUUGAUAAUUAUUUAAUUCCUAUAAUGUAGUAGACAUAUUAUUUAGUUCCUAUAAUCUAGAAAGUAAGUUAUUUAGAUCUAUAAUAAUGUAAGAUUAUAAAUUAAAUGUAACAUAACUUUCUAGUAAUAGGUCCAUUAGGUCCAUUUUUUAAAAAAUCACACAUGAGUCAAAGUUGUGACUUCUGUUUUAAUAUAUAAGAUUAUCGUUUUAGCUGCUAAGGUUUGAAGAUGAAGAGGUUGAAGAGAGCUAUCAAAGGCUGAGGGAAAGAGAGAGAAGCCAUGCGUAUCUGCAUAACUGUGCUAGGGCUUACUGCUCUACCAUGGACCAUACUUAUCUCAUCCCUCAUCUACGCUUGAUCAUGGUUCAAUGGAUUGUGCAGGUGGAGCGAAGACAUAAAGCUUGUGGAGUUGUACAUAAAGCUUGUGGAGCAAUCAAAUGUCAUUGAUGUGCCUGGUUUGUCUUAUAGAAACAUCCCUUCCGUUGCCUCAACUGCUAUAGGAGAGCUGGCUAUAUCCAAAGGAAGACAGGGAAGAGAAGCAUAAAACCUAUUGAGGGACUCGGUAUAUGUGGCGAAUAUUCGUCUGGCGAAUAUUCAUCUUAAGGGAGUUGAAACAGGUGUCUUAGUUACUACAUAUGAACCUAUUCUCAUCAAGUAAGUCUCACCAACGUUAACCUUGUUGUUGUUCGGCAUUGUCUUUGGGUCUCAUGUGUUUUGUAUAUUGUGCAUAUGAAUUAUGAACCUAUUCUCAUGUUUUUUUUUCAUGGUUGUUUAAAAUUUUUAAUUAUAAAUUUUUAUUUGUAUUUUUAAUAUGUUCUUAUGUCAUAUUUGUUUAAAUUUUAUGAAAUCCAAUAAUUUAUAAGUUUUGUAAAA